AACGAACGCUGGCGGCAGGCCUAACACAUGCAAGUCGAGCGCCCCGCAAGGGGAGCGGCGGACGGGUGAGUAACGCGUGGGAACGUGCCCUUUGCUACGGAAUAGCCCCGGGAAACUGGGAGUAAUACCGUAUAAGCCCUACGGGGGAAAGAUUUAUCGGCAAAGGACCGGCCCGAGUUGGAUUAGGUAGUUGGUGGGGUAAUGGCCGACCAAGCCGACGAUCCAUAGCUGGUUUGAGAGGAUGAUCAGCCACACUGGGACUGAGACACGGCCCAGACUCCUACGGGAGGCAGCAGUGGGGAAUCUUAGACAAUGGGCGCAAGCCUGAUCUAGCCAUGCCGCGUGAGCGAUGAAGGCCUUAGGGUUGUAAAGCUCUUUCGUGGGGGAAGAUAAUGACUGUACCCCAAGAAGAGGCCCCGGCUAGCUCCGUGCCAGCAGCCGCGGUAACAC
rnacentral:rRNA from 1 species